GAUGGUAUUCCUCGGUUGACCCUAGGAAGUUGUCUGGAGCUGUGAAGUUAUCCUGCUGCCCUUUGAACUUUGUCCUGACUCUCUUUCAGAUGCAGACUGAUAAAAUCCAUGGCAGAACUCCCUAUCCCAGGAAGUAAAGCCAUCUAGCAGCAGUCAAGGCAAAGUGGUCGAGGCGGUCCACUUUCACUCCAUGCUGGCUGAGGAUGCUUGAUGCCAGGUACCUUCCAGGCAGACUCUGGAGUCAAAUCAAGAUUUGAGGUAUCGCGAGGAGCUUCGUAGCCAAAGUUCGGAGAGAGCACCACCGAAGCACAUGAGACCAUCUCAACGUCCACGUCCCACCGGGGAUGGAUUUUGUCAGCUCGUCUUCCAAAAGCUAAGUGUUGGGGUCCAUAGUUGGGAGAAGGGGAAAAACCUUUAUUGUCACAGGAGGCCAUGUGAUAUUAGCUUAGCGGAACAGGUCCCUCGGAAGUAAAGGGAGAGGGUUUCUCCUUGGCCUCACCAGAGCCUUUGCCGGGCAGGGCAGUUCCGACCCGUCUCCGCGUUCUCGCGAACUUUGCGUCGUCAGCCUCCUUCGACCCUCGACAUCGUCGUGGAUCUUUCUCCCGAGGAGCUCGCCUUCAGGUCCGGAGCUAUAGCCACCAUCACCUGGCAGUCUUUGCUUCCUUAUCUAGGCCCACCGAGCCUCUCAAGCAUCCUCUUAACUGCUUUGGCACUAACUUCUUUUAAGGAGUUGCAUUUCAUCGUCACACGCUAUUG